rnacentral:lncRNA from 1 species
UGUGGAGGACCCAGAGGUGCCGGUGGGUGUGGAAGACUCAGAGGUGCUGGUGGUCAUGGGGGUUGUAGAGGUGCCGGUGGGUGUGGAAGACUCAGAGGUGCUGGUGGUCAUGGUGGUUGUAGAGGUGCCGGUGGGUGUUGAGGACCCAGAUGUGCUGGUGGUGAUGGUGGCAGUGGAGGUUUCGGUGGGUGUGGAGAACUCAGAGCUGCUGGUGGUCAUUGUGGUUGUGGAGGUGUCAGUAAGUAUAGAGGACUAAGAGGUGCUGUUGGGUGUGGAGGGCUCAGAGAUGCUGGUGAGUGUGGAGGAAUCAGAGCUGCUGGUCGUGAUGGCAGUUAUGGAGGUGCCAGUAAGUGUGGAGGACUCAGAGGUGCUGGUGGGCAUGGUGGUUGUGGAGGUCCCAGUGGGUGUGGAGGGCUCGGAGGUGCUGGUGGGCAUGGUGGUUGUGGAGGUCCCAGUGGGUGUGGAGGGCUCGGAGGUGCUGGUGGGCAUGGUGGUUGUGGAGGUCCCAGUGGGUGUGGAGGGCUCGGAGGUGCUGGUGGGCAUGGUGGUUGUGGAGGUCCCAGUGGGUGUGGAGGGCUCGGAGGUGCUGGUGGGCAUGGUGGUUGUGGAGGUCCCAGUGGGUGUGGAGGGCUCGGAGGUGCUGGUGGGCAUGGUGGUUGUGGAGGUCCCAGUGGGUGUGGAGGGCUCGGAGGUGCUGGUGGGCAUGGUGGUUGUGGAGGUCCCAGUGGGUGUGGAGGGCUCGGAGGUGCUGGUGGGCAUGGUGGUUGUGGAGGUCCCAGUGGGUGUGGAGGGCUCGGAGGUGCUGGUGGGCAUGGUGGUUGUGGAGGUCCCAGUGGGUGUGGAGGGCUCGGAGGUGCUGGUGGGCAUGGUGGUUGUGGAGGUCCCAGUGGGUGUGGAGGGCUCGGAGGUGCUGGUGGGCAUGGUGGUUGUGGAGGUCCCAGUGGGUGUGGAGGGCUCGGAGGUGCUGGUGGGCAUGGUGGUUGUGGAGGUCCCAGUGGGUGUGGAGGGCUCGGAGGUGCUGGUGGGCAUGGUGGUUGUGGAGGUCCCAGUGGGUGUGGAGGGCUCGGAGGUGCUGGUGGGCAUGGUGGUUGUGGAGGUUUCAGUGGGUGUGGAGGACUCAGAGGUGCUGGUGGGUGUGGAGGACUCAGAGGUGCUGGUGGGUGUGGAGGGCUCAGAGAUGCUGGUGAGUGUGGAGGAAUCAGAGCUGCUGGUCGUGAUGGCAGUUAUGGAGGUGCCAGUAAGUGUGGAGGACUCAGAGGUGCUGGUGGUCAUGGUGGUUGUGGAGGUCCUGGUGGGUGUGGAGGGCUCGGAGGUGCUGGUGGUCAUGGUGGUUGUGGAGAUUUCAGUGGGUGUGGAGGACUCAGAGGUGCCGGUGGGUGUGGAGGACUCAGAGGUGCUGGUGGUGAUGGUGGUUGUGGAGGUUUCGGUGGGUGUGGAUGACUCAGAGGUGCUGGUGGUCAUGGUGGUUGUGGAGGUGCCCGUGGGUGUGGAGGACUCAGAGGUUCUGGUGGUCAUGGUGGUGGUAGAGGUUUCAGUGGUUGUAGAGGACCCCAAGGUGCCAGUGGUUGUGGAGGACUCAGAGAUGCUGGUGGGGAUGGUGGUUGUGGAGGUGCUGGUGGGUGUGGAAGACUCAGAGGUGCUGGUGGGUGUGGAGAACUCAGACGUGCUGGUGGUCAUGAUGGUUGUGGAGGUCCUGGUGGGUGUAGAGAAUUCAGAGGUGCUGGUGGUCAUGGUGGUUGUGGAGGUGCCAGUAGGUUUGGAGGCCUCAAAGUUGCCGGAGGGUGUGGAGGACUCAGAGGUACUGGUGGUCAUGGUGCUUGUGGAAGUUUCGGUGGGUUUGGAGGACUCGGAUGUGCUGGUGGUCAUGGUGGUGGUAGAGGUUUCAGUGGGUGUGGAGGACUCAGAGGUGCUGGUGGGUGUGGAGGGGGUCCUGGACAUGGUGGUGGGCAUGGGGGUGGGCGUGGAGGUGGUUGUAGGUGUGGGGGUGAGUCUGGAGGUGGUGGUGGGUGUGCGGGUUGUGGAUAUGGGUGUGGGUAUGUAC